rnacentral:rRNA from 1 species
AUGGAACAUAUACACACCUUGCACAUCUUCUACCUCCUAGUUAUUGUCCGUAUGGAGGCACCUGCAAGCCUCAGCACGGGACACUACUUUCUUGCCAGGGAUACAAUCGAUCAUUUCAACACAGCUUUAAAGCCAAUCAUUUACCUCUCCAUGUUUUACUACUUCAACAAUCCGAGAUCAUCGAUCGGCAGUAAUUACAUCAUACUCCUCUCGCUUGUGUAUUGUGUGACUGGGAUUGGAUACACUUUCGCCAUCUGUUUCAAUCCUGGCUCGGCGCAGCUGUGCUCUGCACUGAUACCUGUUGUUCUGACCUUGUUAUCCACACAAAGGACCACCCCUACAUUUCUCAAGAAUAUGAGCUAUCCAAAGUGGGCACUAGAGGGCUUCAUAAUCGCAAACGCAAAAAGGUAUCCUGGAGUUUGGCUAAUAACUCGCUGCGGCUUGCUGUUCAGGAGUGGUUUCAAUAUUCACAACUACCAACUCUGUAUUGUGGUUCUGUUCAUGUAUGGUCUCUUCUUCAGGAUUGUUGCAUUUGUGGCAAUGGUUCUGCUGAAGAAGAGAUGA